rnacentral:pre_miRNA from 1 species
AGAGGUAGUAGGUUGCAUAGUUUUAGGUCAGGGAUGUUGCCCAACAAGGAGUUAACUAUACAACCUGCUGCCUUUC